rnacentral:rRNA from 1 species
AGUGAACGCUGGCGGUAGGCCUAACACAUGCAAGUCGAACGGCAGCACAGUAAGAGCUUGCUCUUACGGGUGGCGAGUGGCGGACGGGUGAGGAAUACAUCGGAAUCUACUUUUUCGUGGGGGUUAACGUAGGGAAACUUACGCUAAUACCGCAUACGACCUACGGGUGAAAGCAGGGGAUCUUCGGACCUUGCGCGAUUGAAUGAGCCGAUGUCGGAUUAGCUAGUUGGCGGGGUAAAGGCCCACCAAGGCGACGAUCCGUAGCUGGUCUGAGAGGAUGAUCAGCCACACUGGAACUGAGACACGGUCCAGACUCCUACGGGAGACAGCAGUGGGGAAUAUUGGACAAUGGGCGCAAGCCUGAUCCAGCCAUACCGCGUGGGUGAAGAAGGCCUUCGGGUUGUAAAGCCCUUUUGUUGGGAAAGAAAAGCAGCAGGUUAAUACCCCGCUGUUCUGACGGUACCCAAAGAAUAAGCACCGGCUAACUUCGUG